AUUGAACGCUGGCGGCAGGCCUAACACAUGCAAGUCGAGCGGGUGAAUGGGGCUUGCUCCUGGAUUCAGCGGCGGACGGGUGAGUAAUGCCUAUGAAUCUGCCUGGUAGUGGGGGAUAACGUCCUGAAACGGGCGCUAAUACCGCAUACGUCCUGAUGUAGAAAGUGGGGGGUCUUCGGACCGCACGCUAUCUUAUGAGACUAGGUCGGAUUAGCUAGUUGGUGGGGUAAAGGCCUACCAAGGCGACGAUCCGUAACUGGUCUGAGAGGAUGAUCAGUAACUCGGGAAAUGGGACACGCUCCCACAUCGUAAGUGAGGCAGCACCGGGGAAUAUUGGACAGUGGGCGAAAGCGUGUUCCAGCCAUGCCGCGUGUGUGAAGAAGGUCUUUGGCUCGUAAAGCACGUUAAGUUGGGAGGAAGAGAAGUAAGUUAAUACCUUGCUGUUUGGAAGUUACCAAAAGAUUAAGCACCGGCUAAUUCCGU
rnacentral:rRNA from 1 species